GUGGGGAAUUUUGGACAAUGGGCGCAAGCCUGAUCCAGCAAUGCCGCGUGCAGGAAGAAGGCCUUCGGGUUGUAAACUGCUUUUGUACGGAACGAAAAGGCUCUGGUUAAUACCUGGGGCUCAUGACGGUACCGUAAGAAUAAGCACCGGCUAACUACGUGCCAGCAGCCGCGGUAAUACGUAGGGUGCAAGCGUUAAUCGGAAUUACUGGGCGUAAAGCGUGCGCAGGCGGUUUUGUAAGACAGACGGGAAAUCCCCGGGCUCCACCUGGGAAUGGCGUUUGUGACUGCAAAGCUGGAGUGCGGCAGAGGGGGAUGGAAUUCCGCGUGUAGCAGUGAAAUGCGUAGAUAUGCGGAGGAACACCGAUGGCGAAGGCAAUCCCCUGGGCCUGCACUGACGCUCAUGCACGAAAGCGUGGGGAGCAAACAGGAUUAGAAACCCUGGUAGUCC
rnacentral:rRNA from 1 species